ensembl:lncRNA
GAUCAGUUUUAAUGAGACUAUGAGUUAUUAACCUUUGCAGAAGUUGAUAUAACAGCACUAAUACCACAAAUGUGUUCUAAAAAUAUUAUUUUAAUAGAUUUUUUAGCACUUUAAAAAUCUGUCCUCUGACGUUUCAACCCAUCCUUAUGUUUUUGUAGGAAUCUGGAUGGAUGCAUUUGUUUUAACUCUGGUACUUUCACUAAUCAUCAUCAUUACCCUCACUGUUCUUCUUCUUUUAAUAAGACAAGGCUUGCUACCACACUGUUCAUCUAGGAAAAACGCACGAGCAGCAGGUACCAUUUUCCAACUUUUGAACUGCUUAUAGUUAUGGGUCUACAGUGUUUUCCCUCUUCCCCUGUAAGCAUUUUUACACUUUAACAAGCAAGUCAUUGAAGUCAGGUCGUCUUGAAUUACAAAUUACAAGGAUACUUGCAUAAUAUCUAACUUUAUUUAUUUUUUACAUGUAGAUGAUUUCCAUGAAUCCACAAAAGAAGAAACAUGUCCUCUUAAAGGUAGCAGUACAGAGUCACCUGUAGCUCCAGUUAAUCCUGAAGAACAAGUGAAGACAUGGAAUAAAUUGAAGACACAGAAAAAAGUGAAGCUCACUGUAGAUCCAACUACACUUCACGAACCUAUCUGUGGACAACUGAACAGAACAGAGGACUCGUUUCCUCAAGUUCUGAGUAAAGAAGGAUUCUCCUCAGGACAGAACUACUGGGAAGUUUUGGUGGAUCAAAAGAAGAGUAAAAAGUCAUGGUGUGUAGGAGUGACUCAGAAGCCCCCCAGUAAAAAGACCCUCACAGCUCUCUGUUAUGAAGAAGGUUCUGGUAUUUACACUAGUACUGAUCCUCGCACUACAAUACCUGCUGAAGAACAUUUUACCACCCUUGGGCUGCUUUUAGAUUUCCAACACAAAACUCUGUCCUUCUAUAACGUAGAUAAGGGAGCUCAUCUUCAUACUUUUAAAAUGAAGAUUACAAGUAAAAGUAAAUAUUUUGCUGUUAUCAGUCCAGGGAUAAAAGAUACUUUCCCUGUAAGCUUUUAUAAUUAACAAGAUUCAGCCAAUAUUGUUUUUUUUUAGAAAAAAAAAUGCUGGAAACAAACUAUAUGUUUAUUUUCUGUUCCACUCUAGUUUACCUUUAAGGAAAACUUUUUCUAAAAGUAUGCUUAUUUUCUGAUUCAAACAUGCCACCAAAACUUGAGCAGGUACAUUAAAUCAGGUGUAUUUAAUGAGGGCAACCACAAUUAUGUAGGAUUUCAUCUUUCAGAGACAUAAAUUCCCCCACCCCUGGUCAUACUAUAGGGUAAUAUUCUCUUAGAAUCAGCUCUUGUUAUCUUUAAAUGUUAAUGUUCUAGUGUUUCAUUUAAACAAAUAAUCUGAUGAGUUUCUUGGUCUUUGUGAUGCUGUUUGUUCACUACUGCUCUCUAACAAUCCACUGAAGCCUUCACACAACAAGUGUUUUAUAUUUAUACUGAAUCUAUAUUUAUUUCACAGCUGGACUCUAUUAAAUAAUUAAGUGACUUCUGAAGGCAAUUGAUUGCGCUGGAUUUUAUUUAUAGAGGUUUAGGAGUAAAGGGAGCUGAAAACAUUUGUUUUUUAACACUUUUUUGAUUUUUAUUUCAUUAAAAAACUUUAAAAUCAUGUAUUAUUUUUUCCACUUUACAAUCAUGUGCUACUUUGUGUUUGUCUAUCACUUAAAAUCUCAAUAAAAUACAUUUCAGUUUGUGGUUGUAAGCUGAC